rnacentral:lncRNA from 1 species
UCGAUUGAGCAUGUUCUGAAACUUUCGUAAAACUCAUUUCAAAUUUGUAGCUAAAAAACUUUAGCUUGUUUAAUUUUGAAAACCAAGCAUUUAUUGUUAAUUAAUAAAAAUCAUGCAUAAAUCUUUAAUUGACUAACAGAAACCAAAAUUAAAUCCGAAAAUUAGUCUAAAAACCAAAAGUCUAGAAAUUUUAAUUAUGAACAAAACAAACCAUUUUACGUGAGAAAAUCAAUCCGAGUUCCCAAACGCCGCCUGUAUGACCCACACAACCUAAUGGCCCAACCCGUAUGGCCCGCAUGGCUCACUUAACCCAAUCUGUGUGGCCCACACAGUAUGGCACACGACCGUGUGGUGUCGACAGUGAAUUUUUGGCUUCAUGUCGUUCGUUGUUUUUUUAUAUUAUCAUUACACACUUGAUCAUUUUUUGAUGCCAACACAGCAACAACAAAUCCAGCACCUAAAAACGACAUCCAUAAACAAUCAAUCACACAACCAUACACCUUAAAUCAAUUGCUUAAUAAUGAAUAAAUUCCAUAACACUAUCUCAAAUAAACACCAACCAACCUUCAAAAAAUGAACGUUUUGCACAUGUACCUCUAACGAAAAGGCUGUUGAUACUCAGCCCAACAGAGGAAUACACUCUUCUUGAUUCUCACCUAAACAGAAUCAUACAACAAACUCAUUAUAAGCGCCAAACUAAAUCAAACUGAAUACCAACUAUCUCAAGAAGUGAGAAAAUAUACAGAGGUUACAGAAAGAAAAGGACGAUUAAGAACUUAAUAUCCCCUUACCACACACGUCUAAACGAUGAAACCUAUAACGAAUAUUGGCACAAAACCAAUACGACAGCAGAGGAGUAGGGGAGUAUAGAAAUCAAUCAAAAGGAACAAACGAAAAAGUAAUAUGUCGAGGAAUUGGGAACGAGCAGAAUAAAAUCAAAGAGAGGGAACAAUUGAACAAGAAGAAUAGCAAGAAAGUUUAUUGUAACAACAAAGAAAAAAAAUGGAAAAAGAAAAUAAUAGGGAAAACAAUACUAAUGUGAGAGAGAGGAAUCAUAGUACGACAAAAAGAUGUAAUAAAAUUAGGACAUAAUUUCUUAAAUAAUAAAUAUAUAUAUAUAUUUUAACAAUAACCACCCAUAUCCCCGUUAAAUCCCCUAACUAACCACUAUCAAUUUAUCAAAAUCCAAAUUUAACCCAACUACAUCC